UUAAUUUGAGAGUUUGAUCCUGGCUCAGGACGAACGCUGGCGGCGUGCCUAAUACAUGCAAGUCGAACGAACUCUGGUAUUGAUUGGUGCUUGCAUCAUGAUUUACAUUUGAGCGAGUGGCGAACUGGUGAGUAACACGUGGGAAACCUGCCCAGAAGCGGGGGAUAACACCUGGAAACAGAUGCUAAUACCGCAUAACAACUUGGACCGCAUGGUCCGAGUUUGAAAGAUGGCUUCGGCUAUCACUUUUGGAUGGUCCCGCGGCGUAUUAGCUAGAUGGUGGGGUAACGGCUCACCAUGGCAAUGAUACGUAGCCGACCUGAGAGGGUAAUCGGCCACAUUGGGACUGAGACACGGCCCAAACUCCUACGGGAGGCAGCAGUAGGGAAUCUUCCACAAUGGACGAAAGUCUGAUGGAGCAACGCCGCGUGAGUGAAGAAGGGUUUCGGCUCGUAAAACUCUGUUGUUAAAGAAGAACAUAUCUGAGAGUAACUGUUCAGGUAUUGACGGUAUUUAACCAGAAAGCCACGGCUAACUACGUGCCAGCAGCCGCGGUAAUACGUAGGUGGCAAGCGUUGUCCGGAUUUAUUGGGCGUAAAGCGAGCGCAGGCGGUUUUUUAAGUCUGAUGUGAAAGCCUUCGGCUCAACCGAAGAAGUGCAUCGGAAACUGGGAAACUUGAGUGCAGAAGAGGACAGUGGAACUCCAUGUGUAGCGGUGAAAUGCGUAGAUAUAUGGAAGAACACCAGUGGCGAAGGCGGCUGUCUGGUCUGUAACUGACGCUGAGGCUCGAAAGUAUGGGUAGCAAACAGGAUUAGAUACCCUGGUAGUCCAUACCGUAAACGAUGAAUGCUAAGUGUUGGAGGGUUUCCGCCCUUCAGUGCUGCAGCUAACGCAUUAAGCAUUCCGCCUGGGGAGUACGGCCGCAAGGCUGAAACUCAAAGGAAUUGACGGGGGCCCGCACAAGCGGUGGAGCAUGUGGUUUAAUUCGAAGCUACGCGAAGAACCUUACCAGGUCUUGACAUACUAUGCAAAUCUAAGAGAUUAGACGUUCCCUUCGGGGACAUGGAUACAGGUGGUGCAUGGUUGUCGUCAGCUCGUGUCGUGAGAUGUUGGGUUAAGUCCCGCAACGAGCGCAACCCUUAUUAUCAGUUGCCAGCAUUAAGUUGGGCACUCUGGUGAGACUGCCGGUGACAAACCGGAGGAAGGUGGGGAUGACGUCAAAUCAUCAUGCCCCUUAUGACCUGGGCUACACACGUGCUACAAUGGAUGGUACAACGAGUUGCGAACUCGCGAGAGUAAGCUAAUCUCUUAAAGCCAUUCUCAGUUCGGAUUGUAGGCUGCAACUCGCCUACAUGAAGUCGGAAUCGCUAGUAAUCGCGGAUCAGCAUGCCGCGGUGAAUACGUUCCCGGGCCUUGUACACACCGCCCGUCACACCAUGAGAGUUUGUAACACCCAAAGUCGGUGGGGUAACCUUUUAGGAACCAGCCGCCUAAGGUGGGACAGAUGAUUAGGGUGAAGUCGUAACAAGGUAGCCGUAGGAGAACCUGCGGCUGGAUCACCUCCUUUCUAAGGAA
rnacentral:rRNA from 2 species